rnacentral:rRNA from 1 species
UACGUAGGGGGCUAGCGUUGUCCGGAAUCAUUGGGCGUAAAGAGCGUGUAGGCGGCUCGGUAAGUCCGCUCUGAAAGCCCGGGGCUCAACCCCGGGAGGCGGGCGGAUACUGUCGAGCUAGAGUCCGGAAGAGGCGAGUGGAAUUCCUGGUGUAGUGGUGGAAUGCGUAGAGAUCCGGAGGAACACCAGCGGCGAAGGCGGCAUCCUGGACUGGUCCUGACACUCAUGAGCGAAAGCGUGGGGAGCGAUCCGG